rnacentral:tRNA from 1 species
GAGGGUAUAGCCCAGAAGUAGAGUGCACGUCUAGCACGCACAAGGUCCUGGGUUCGAUCCCCAGUACCUCCA